UGGGGAAUAUUGGACAAUGGGCGAAAGCCUGAUCCAGCCAUGCCGCGUGUGUGAAGAAGGUCUUCGGAUUGUAAAGCACUUUAAGUUGGGAGGAAGGGCAGUAAGCGAAUACCUUGCUGUUUUGACGUUACCGACAGAAUAAGCACCGGCUAACUCUGUGCCAGCAGCCGCGGUAAUACAGAGGGUGCAAGCGUUAAUCGGAAUUACUGGGCGUAAAGCGCGCGUAGGUGGUUCGUUAAGUUGAUUGUGAAAGCCCCGGGCUCAACCUGGGAACUGCAUCCAAAACUGGCGAGCUAGAGUAGGGCAGAGGGUGGUGGAAUUUCCUGUGUAGCGGAGAAAUGCGUAGAUAUAGGAAGGAACACCAGUGGCGAAGGCGACCACCUGGGCUCAUACUGACACUGAGGUGCGAAAGCGUGGGGAGCAAACAGG
rnacentral:rRNA from 1 species